UACGUAGGGACCAAGCGUUGUUCGGAUUUACUGGGCGUAAAGGGCGCGUAGGCGGCGCGACAAGUCACUUGUGAAAUCUCUGGGCUUAACUCAGAACGGCCGAGUGAAACUGUUGUGCUAGAGUGCAGAAGGGGCAAUCGGAAUUCUCGGUGUAGCGGUGAAAUGCGUAGAUAUCGAGAGGAACACCAGAGGUGAAGACGGGUUGCUGGGCUGACACUGACGCUGAGGCGCGAAAGCCAGGGGAGCAAACGGG
rnacentral:rRNA from 1 species